GGUCUGUGGAGCAAAUCCAGCUGCCUGAGCUAGCUCCCUGACCCGGGUGUUGAAUCCCUGCAGCUGCUCCUGCCGCACGUCCACCAGUCCCAGCCUCGCCGCGCACCUUGACUGGCUGGCCGUUGCUCGUCCGCAGGAGGCUCUCGUCGUCCGCUUCGAUGCCGAAGGCCACGAAGGGCCCCGUGGCGAUGUCCCCCCAGUACCCGCGCGCUGCCACGCGCUCCCCACGCUGGAAAAGGAGGGAGAGAGGAGGCAGGUAAUCUAGAGAUGAUUUGCGGUGUAUGGGACCAUGUGUACAGGCUAUUUAUGCCUGCAUCCCCUUCGCCUCCUGUCAUGAUUGUAAGUUUCCUGAGGCCUUCCCAGCCAUACUCCCUGUACAGCCUGUGGAACUGUGAGUCAAUUAAACCUCUUUUCUUGGGGCCGGGUGUGAUCGCACCCGCCUGUAAACCUAGCACUUUGGCAGGCCAAGGCGGGCGGAUCACCUGAGGUCAGCAUCUCGAGACCAUCC
rnacentral:lncRNA from 1 species